rnacentral:sRNA from 12 species
CCUUUGGAGUAACAUACCAAACUGAAGUAGUCUUAUGAUAAAACAGGUUACGAUGAAUAAGGAA